rnacentral:rRNA from 1 species
GUCGAGAAUCUUCCCCAAUGGGCGAAAGCCUGAGGGAGCGACGCCGCGUGAGGGAUGAAGGCCCUUUGGGUUGUAAACCUCUGUUAGGGGGAAAGAAAAGCAGUGGAAGCAAUAUGUCCAUUGCCUGACGUUACCCCCAGAGAAAGCUCCGGCCAACUCCGUGCCAGCAGCCGCGGUAAUACGGGGGGAGCAAGCGUUGUCCGGAAUCAUUGGGCGUAAAGGGCGUGUAGGCGGCUUGGCAAGUCGAAUGUGAAAUCCCACGGCUCAACCGUGGAACUGCGUUCGAAACUGCCUUGCUUGAGUGCGGGAGAGGUGUGCGGAAUUCCUGGUGUAGCGGUGGAAUGCGUAGAUAUCAGGAAGAACACCGGUGGCGAAGGCGGCACACUGGCCCAGCACUGACGCUGAGGCGCGAAAGCGUGGGGAGCGAACGGGAUUAGAAACCCGAGUAGUCC